GACGAACGCUGGCGGCGUGCUUAACACAGAAUGAAGAAACGAGUGGCGAACGGGUGAGUAACGCGUAAUCAACCUGCCCUUCAGAGGGGGACAACAGUUGGAAACGAAUGCUAAUAACUAAUACUGUGAGAGAGCUUUGCGUCCCAUUAUCUAGUUGGAGAGGUAACGGCUCACCAAGGCGAGGAUGGGUAGCCGGCCUGAGAGGGUGAUCGGCCACAAUGGGACUGAGACACGGCCCUUACUCCGACGGGAUGCAGCAGUUGGGAAUAUUUGACAAUGGACCAAAGUCUGAUCCAGCAAUUCUGUGUGCACGAUGAAGUUUUCGGAAUGUAAAGUGCUUUCAGUUGGUAAGCGGUACCAACAGAAGAAGUGACGGCUAAAUACGUGCCAGCAGCCGCGGUAAUAC
rnacentral:rRNA from 1 species